rnacentral:rRNA from 1 species
UACAGAGGGUGCAAGCGUUUGUUCGGAAUUAUUGGGCGUAAAGGGAGUGUAGGCGGCUAGGUAAGUUUUCUGUGAAAGCUACGGGCUCAACCCGUUAAAGUGCAGAGAAUACUGCUUGGCUUGAGUGUCGGAGAGGAUAGUGGAAUUCCCGGUGUAGAGGUGAAAUUCGUAGAGAUCGGGAAGAACAUCAGUGGCGAAGGCGGCCUGCUGGGCUGUUGCUGACGCUGAGGCGCGACAGCGUGGGGGAGCAAA